rnacentral:lncRNA from 1 species
GGCGUUUACCUGGUAUUUGACCUUCCUCUAGGAACGCUUGACUGGUAAGGGAAGAACGCCGCAUAUGAGCAUGUGCACAACUAAAGUAAACACACUGCACAUGCAGCACCCCCAAGGGCUGGCAGGCCAUUAUGCAUGCAGAAUGCCAGCGUAUAAAACCCCAAGUUAAAGGUCAAACUGCAGACUUGAAUCUCUCAAGUGGCCCCCUUGGCCCUCUUCCAAAUGUACUUUACUUUCUUUCACUCCUGCUCUAAAACUUGCCUCAGUCUCUCACGCUGUCUUAUGCCUUUUCCUUUGCCUUAUGUCAAAUUCUUUCUUCUGAUGAGGCAAGGAUUGAGGUUGCUGCAGACCCGAAUGGAUUCGCUACUCCUAGCAGUGUCUCCUUCACCGCAGGUCCCUGGUCACUGGACAACCAAGUGAAAGUGGAGGAAAAUCUUCAGGUGAGAUUCUACAGGAACCCAAAUGUCAGAAUGCACCCACGUCUGAGGUCAUCCUUCCUUUGAAAUACCUACCAUGAUGACUCCAGCUCCUGCAGGUUUCCUUCCCCAGGUGAGUCUGGGCAUCCCUGUGGGAAUCCUGGCCCAUUCCACACACCCAUCUAGUUGCUGCCUGCCUCUGCUGGCUCCAGGACUGCUGCUGUCUUCUUUCCAUGUGCUGCUGCUUGCCCCUGGUUGACUUUCAGCUGAUGCAGGAAAGCUCUUUUUGAAGCUGCUGCCAUUCCUUCCUGUAUAGAAGCAUGGAUACAGGACCGUCCUGUUUCCUAUAGUAGUGGCAGAGAUUGGGCUGAGUCUUUUAACAGGGUUCUACUGGGUAU